CUUGUUUCAGAUGAGACUUUGGAUUUUGGACUUUGGGCUUAUUUCUCCCAGAAGUAAAACUCAGAUGACUAGGACAAGCUGUGGUGAGAGAAGCCAUUGGCUGCCAUCUAGACUGUGUUGAAAGCACACAGUCACUUGUUAAAGGCAGUAAGUGUUCACGGCUGACCUUCGCUUGGACAGGGAGGCAUUGUAGCAUAAAGGAAGAAUAUUAGACAUUGAAUUCAGAGAAAUAUUGGCUUUACCACUAAAAAACAAUGUGACUCUGGGUAAGUUUCAUAUAUUCUAUGGGUCUCAAUUCCUUCAUUAAAAAAAAAAAGAUAGUGGUCUUCGCAAAUUAUGGUGUCAAAGCUGUCUCUCUGCUGGUUCUUGCCAGCAACAAAUGACAAAAUGUAUGAAAAUUUUAAAUUCUGCAAGACAGAGCCAUGUCUUAUGCCUCUGAACAUAUUGCAUCCUCUCAUUCAUUUAAUAAAAAUUUAUUUGGUACCUAUUAUGUACUAAACAGUGCACUUGGUACUAGGAAUACAGUCAUGAACAAAUCAACUCUCCCUCUCCUUAUGGACUUGUGGUUUAGCAGAGGACACAGAAAUGUGGUAAAUCCAAAUGAUGACAUGGUUUUACAAACACUUGAAACAUCAGGGAGUUCUCCAUACAGUUACUAAAAUCAAGGAUGCAGAACAAAUUUGUUCCCAAGCUUUUGCUGGAGACCAGAAAAAUCAUACCAAUGAUGGUGUCUCCUCCCUCUCCCUGACUUUCGUGUUUAUACAUACUUCUUCCUCAAGUGCCUUAUGAAUAUUUUGUAAUCAAAUAAACAGAGGCAUGUUCUAGACAGAAUCUAGAUUCUCUCUCGUUACAAACGUGUUCCAAUUAUAAUUAUUUCAAAGUAUUUUAUGGUAAGAAAUCUCAUAUUUAAGAGUCAAUGUUUUAGAGUUUUUGGAGUUACUUUUGCAAUCCGAAGCUUUCUGAUUGGCUGACAUUAUCAUUGCUAUCUCUAUAAUUACAGGCAUGCAUCAUUUAAUGAUGGGGAUACAUUCUGAGAGAUGCCUUGUUAGGCAAUUUUAUUGUUAUAUGAAUAUCAUAGAGUGUUCUUUUACAAACCUAGAUGGUAUAGUCUACUACACACCUAGGCUAUAUGGUAUAGCUUAUUUCUCCUAGACUACAGACCUGCACAGCAUGUUACUGCGCUGAAUAUAGUGGGCAACUGUAACACAACAGUGAGUAUUUGUAUAUCUAAAAAUAGAAAAGGUACAGUAAAAAUGUGUUAUUAUAAUCUUAUGGGACCACUUUCAUAUAGGUUGUCCAUUGUUGACCGAAACGUUGUUAAUGUGGCACACGUCUGUAUUAUCAAAUAUUAUUUGAGUGUCUACUGUGGGUUAAGCACUGUACUAUGUACCUAGGAUAAUUCUGUAAUGAAGAAACAUAAUUUAAAUAGGGAAUCAAAACGUGUAUUUGAUUGGAAAGACGUAAUGCAGAGCAAGUCUAUAUCUGGUAAGGUAAGGCUGAAAACAACUAAAAUUACGAGAUAAAAUACAAAAUGCUUUCAUAAAAGCAUUGAAAAAUCUAACAUGACAUAAUAAGACAUUAUUUAAGAGCUAGAAUUUAGAGAGGUGAGCAGAUCAUUGCUUCGGCUUUCAGGACCUUUGCAAACUUAGAUUAAAUAAAUUAACUUAAAUUAGCUAUCAAAUAUAGCUGUGAGUUUGAAGGGUUCAUAGCCUGGAGGAAAACAGAAGUAAAAUUCAGCAUCUGUCAAAAGUUGCCAAAGUAGUAAUAAACAUGGUAGUUAUCCGAUCCCUUUCCUAGGGCACCAGAUUUGGGCACCACCACAUGUGAUGUGGGGCGGAUUGGCCAAUAGAAGCCAAGUGAAGUCAGACGCUCAAGAUGUAACUAAAGCAUUUAUGAAUAUCAUCUGUCUAAUCUGGAGAAACACGUCUUAUAGUUGGCCACUCUCAUGGUUCUUGUUGCCUUCUGUUGUUUGGAGGAAUCUAAGGAUUUAUGGAAGUUAUGUUGGUAUAUCAGAAGCUUGUUGGUAUAUAUUUGAGUAGAAGGGCUUCAAUGAAGUCAACUUAUACCACUAAGUGGAUUGUUGAUUCUUCGAUGGAUGAGGCUGUAUAAGGGGAUCAACAUUAAUCAAUGUUGCUGACAGGCUGGACAUUCAGCAGCAACCUUGACAAGAGAAUGAAGGCCAAAUUGAGUUUCCUUGAGCAACUCAUUUAACGUUAAGAAUCAAGAUGGUGCCCAAGCUCAGAUGACAUCCUUUCUAACCCAUUUGGAAGGCUCCUCUCAUAGGAGGUGUGAAAGAAAAGAGAAUGGAAAGGAACAGGCUCUUCUCUUGAAGAAAAGCCCUCAGUCCAUACAGCCAGACUUUGUCUACAUAUGCCUUUCUAUGGGAUGCUGAGAGACCAAGGGCUUCUGACAUAGACAUGUGAGAAAUACUGGCUUUAAGUAUACUAUACUCAGUGUCAAAAGCUUUCAGGAUGCAAGAAAUUCCUGAAUUUGAGUCUCCAAAAUUUUAAACAAGGAAAGGAAGUAAAAAUUAUCUCUUUUUCGAUGUAUGGCCCUAUAGUUGGCCAAAAAUGAUUGCUUCUGUUGUUAGAUAUUCAUGUAUAUUUAAGAUUAAAGAAGGUGAUAUUGAUGUGCAAAUAUGAGAGUAAAUUGACAGACAGAUAACCUAAAAAAGUACAGUAAAAUAAAGUUAAGAGUUGUGAUGAAUACCUAAAGGUCCAUUGCCAGAUGAAUGUGAAGACGGAAUGUGAUUUAUAUAUAUAGUGGAAUAUUAUUCAAUUAAAAAGAAAAUGCUAACACUUGCUAAUAUAUAUAAACCUUCAAGACAUUAUGCUAAGUGAAAGAAGCCAGAUACCAAAGGACAAAUAUUGCACUGUUCCACAUAUAUGAAGUGAACAUCACAUAUUGCUGAAGUUCUCAUCAUCAGAAAGAGGCAGAGCUAAGAUUUAAAUCCAGACAUGCCUGGUUCUGAAUUCAGUUGUCUUCCUACACCCAGGAGCUUAUUACAUGCAUUGUGCUAGUCUUCCUGGAAAUCAGGCAAACUCAGUCCACUGCACCUCAUCUCCUUAUGUAAUAACCUGGAGAGCGGUGAGAGCCAUCUGCUUCAAGAGCGACAUAUUUGAGUCCAUAAGGUAAUAGGUUGGCAGAGAACAGAAGGAUUAUGGCAUUGCCAUUUGGCAUUCUUGACUUACUCUGCAUUUAUAAAAUCGAAAUACAUAGUCCAUCAUGUUCUCACAGAGCCUACCAUUAUCAGUCAUUCUGAAAUAAACAUGGUUAGGGACAUCAUAUUCAAAAUAAGUGAUCCUUGUUUUCGGGAAUGAUGUCUGGCAGGAGGAGUUUUUAAAUCCUGCUUUCUGAAGCACUAGCUUACAAAUGACUUUGUGAAGUGUAUUUUGAUUCUGGGGCCCAAGAAGGAGAAAAACAAGUAAGGGAGAAAAACAUAGGCUGGAUCUUAAGAUCACAAGAUAACAGAUGGAUUAAAGGGUAGAAGCCAGAGCAGAGGUUCCAAAACAAGAUUGAUCAUUCAAAUUCAUCUGAAGAACUUUAAAUAUAUGUAUUUACCUGAACCCAGCUUCAGGAAUGAGGCUCAGACAUCUGUGUAUUUAAAAUCUCCUGUGGUUAUUCUGAUAAUUAGCCUCAGUUUUGAGUCAUCUAACAAAGAAAAAGCAAAACAUAUGUCAAUCAGUUUAUCUUACUGUAAUUAAACUUCAGUGGGAAACAUGAGGUGACCCCAAAGAACUGGUUAAGUGUGGCUUAAGAAUUAGUUAAGCAAAUGUACCAAAAGACAAUUUUAAAAAACCAAAUAAAAAGAAAUUUUAGUUUAUUCUCAGGGGCUUUCACAGGAGUCUAUAAAAAUCUCAAAAACAUCCAGGAAGCUCCCAUCGAAUAAUUUGGCUACCUGAAGUGCUGAAUAAAAGGAGCUCUCCCAAAAGAAGCUGUGAAUUCUCUAUCAGGCCCAUGUCCACUCUUCUAGUCAUAGCCUUACUUCUUAAAGAAAGAGAGAAGCUCUAAUCCAAAUCCAAACAUAGGACAUAUGGCGAAGAUUAUUCUGAGAGACACAGUCCCAGAUUCUCCUCUGCUAUACAGGUGUGACAAAAAAGGAGCAAGAACAAAGACUCUAACAUAAUCCUUAGAUGUUUAUAAUAGAAAAAAGAAUGGAAAGAAAUAAACUUUAGCAUUUACACAGGUUGAGCUGACCUAAUCUGAAAAUCCAAAAUCCAAACUGCUAAAAAACUGAUUGAGUUCUGAAGCUUUGAGUGUCAAAAUGGCUCCACAAGUAGAAAGCUCCACAUCUGACCUCAUGUGAUAGGUCACGGUCAAAAUGCAAUCAAAAUUUUGCUUCAUGCCCAACAUUAUUUAAAAUAUUGUAUAAAAUUACCUUUGGCUAUAUAUUAAUAUGUAAGGUAUAUAUAAAACAUUAGUGAUUUUUGGUUUAGUCUUGGAUCCUAUCCCCAUAAUAUCUCAAUAUAUGUAUGCAAAUAUUCCAACCUCCCUGCGCCCAAAAAAUCCAAAAUCCUAAGCACUUCCAAAAUCUAACAGUAAAACAGGCUGAGUAUCCCAAGCAUUUUGGAUAACAGAUGUUCAACCUGUAUCACUUGGGGUCCAUUCAGGGGAACAAACCCCACGAGGUAUUUCAACAGAGAUAAUUUCAUAUAGGGAAUUUGUUAAUCAGAUGAUGGGGAACUGAAAAGGAAAAUGAGAACAUUAGAAGAGAUCAUUACAAAAAGCUGCUACCUCCCCUCAGGCUGGAGGAAUGAAAGGAAGCUGAGAUCAGGAAGCUCAUUGGGAAGCUGAUCAAAACUUACAAGGUUCAUAGAGGGGCCCAAAGAUUUAGGACUCAGAAUUCCAAGGAGGGUGUUACCUACCUCCAAGGAGGCUGCUACUGAAAUCUCAGGAGCUUGGAGGGAGGGUCUCACACAAUGGGGGCCUAACCUCUGAAGUGAGGAGCUACCAGCUAGUGCUGGUACCUCAGAAGUUGGGAAGAGGUCCUGUGAUGUUGAGAUGCAGACACAUAAUGAGUGGGCUCUGCAGCUGGUGGUCGUGAAGGGGCACAAUGACUCUGUUAGUGGGAAUGGCCCGAUGAUCUGAAAGCUGUAAUUAACAGCUGCUGCCAGGGUAAAAGGCCAAAGUGGGGUGAUCUGAUGGGAAAAAAUAAACAAGCAGAAAUGAACAAGUUCCUUCUCCCCUUCUCCUGCCAUUUACUCUUCCCCUAGUUCUUCCUAUUGAUGGAAAUUAAUAGUAAGCCUUCUGACAAAGGAGACAUGUUGUCUUCAGAACCAUCAUCACAAAGUAGAGGCUAGGAAAGUAGAUGUGGAACCUAAUACCGGGUGAAUCAUUCAUCGCACAGUUUCAAAGGUGGCAACAGAAUUAGCCAAAAGCAAGUAUAGGAUGAAAAUAACAAAGGGAAGGGCAGAAAUAAAAUAAGACAUAAACAUUUGAUAGAGAGGACCAACAAAACAAAAUUUUAAUUCAGUGGGAAAA
rnacentral:lncRNA from 1 species